UAAAAGACUCUUGACUGUUGAGUAUAUUUUGAUGACCAUCAGGCAUGGUCUCAUGUGUAAACACUUCAGAUAUUGGUAUUAAAUUAUCUUGAUCCAGACUGGAUACCUCCAUACUUGUAAUGCAAUGACUAAUGCACUCUUUAUCUUCAUUCAUGGUACACAAUCGAAUCUUAAUCUCUUCUCCUGUGCUUUCCAGCCUUCUCAUCAGGUUUUCUGUGCAAAAAGUAGCUGAACUUCCAUGCUCCAAAAAUGCAUAUGUUUGCAACACUGUAUUCAUCUUACUAUUCCUUACCUGUACUGGUAAGAUAGAGAAGAUACAGGCUUCUACCCCGGCCCCAAUAGGAGCAGUUACUCGAGGCGAGGUGACAGCAUCACUGGUAGCUGGCUUCUCCUUCUGUUCUGUUUGCUCCGGCUACUUCUUUACAGUAUGAGGUGCUUCAGGGUGAUUUUGCUUGCACUUAUCACAAGUUAUAGGACUCCUAGUCUCUCACCAUGUGUCCUUUUUUCAUACAUCCAACACAGAUUUCCUUCUCUUUUAAGAAAUCCACCUUUUCUUUAUAUUCCUUCUUCUUGAAUCUUCGACACCACCUUAUGGUGUGACCAACUUCAACACAUAGCAAACAAAAUCCUUUUUGCUUGAUAGUAGAUACAUCUCCUUUCAUUCCACCUGUCGUUUCCACAGGUAUUAUAGAGGUAGCAAAACUGCCUCCCUUAGGUCCUGAUCUUCUAGUUUUGGUAAGGUUAGAA